rnacentral:lncRNA from 1 species
ACAAAUGGCCUGAAAUUGAAAUAGAGAUUUACUUACUUUAAAAAGAACACUUAUUUCUGAGAAUAGGAGUGAGUUAGUAAGCUGAGGGUAAAAGUCUAAAUGCAGGUUGGGCUACGGUACCUCCAGCCCUUUAUAAGACAUUUCCAUAGAACCCACAUUUUAUUAUUUUAUUUCCCAUAAAUGUUCUGUUUGUUACAUGAAGUCGAGGUUAAGAAGACCUGGAAUUUCUCUAUAAACUGGCCUGAACAUGGACCAUGGUUGCAUGAGACCCAGGUGAAGAAGGAAGUCCAGUCUUUUACUGCAAACUGGCUUCUCUCAUUUGUUAGCUAUGUUUCAGUCUCCAUUCCCUACUCCCCUGCCACAGCACCACCACCCAAGGUUGUUGAAACCCAGAUGAUACUGUUAUGCGCUCCAGAUGCUGGACAUGAGACUGCAGGAUGGACUGUCUUCCAAGUUAGGAUUCAGUCUUGCUUGUUUAGUAGUUCCUGUCUGUCUUCUUUUCAGAAUGGGAAUGUUUGUCUGUUUGUGUCAUUGUAUUUUGAAAGACUGUAACUUGUUUUUAAUUGUUUUUUUUUUUCUAUAGGGGCUCUGAGUUAUGAGAUUAUCUCAUCUCAAACUUUGUAUUUUUUUCACAUACAAGUCAUUUAUUGUAAGCCACAAGAGUUAAACUUCUUUUUUUAUUAUUAUAUUUUUUAUUACGUAUUUUCCUCAAUUAACUUUCCAAUGCUAUCCCAAAAGUCCCCCAUUACCCGUCCCCCACUUCCUUACCCACCCAUUCCCACUUUUUGGCCCUGGCAUUCCCCUGUACUGGGGCAUAUAAAGUUUGCGUGUCCAAUGGGCCUCUCUUUCCAGUGAUGGCUUACUAGGCCAUCUUUUGAUACAUAUGCAGCUAGAGUCAAGAGAUCCGGGGUACUGGUUAGUUCAGUUAUAAUGUUGUUGUACCUACAAACUUUGUAUUUAUGGUGUUUUGUGUUUUUACCUACUGAGCUCUUUUGUCCAUAGUUUACUCUCUCUCUCUCUCCUCUCCCUCCUUCCCUCCCUUCUUUUCUGCCUCCCUCCCUCCCUCCCUUCUUCUCUCCCUCCCACCCCCGCUCUCUGUUACACAAGUUGCUCUUAUUUCCAAAUCUAUUUGGUUAUGCUUUCUAUGAGUCCUCCUAAAAAGUGUUAGAAGUUCAGUAAUUGGAAAGACAAAAUCGAUCUUUGGAUAAGAUAUACCCACCGAAUG